rnacentral:rRNA from 1 species
UACGUAGGGUGCAAGCGUUGUCCGGAAUCAUUGGGCGUAAAGAGCGUGUAGGCGGUUCGGUAAGUCUGCUGUGAAAGUCCAGGGCUCAACCCUGGAAAGCCGGUGGAUACUGUCGGACUAGAGUGCGGAAGAGGCGAGUGGAAUUCCCGGUGUAGCGGUGAAAUGCGCAGAUAUCGGGAGGAACACCAAUUGCGAAGGCAGCUCGCUGGGACGUGACUGACGCUGAGACGCGAAAGCGUGGGGAGCAAACAGG